rnacentral:rRNA from 1 species
UACGGAAGGUGCGAGCGUUAAUCGGAAUUACUGGGCGUAAAGCGCGCGUAGGCGGCUUGGUAAGUCGGAUGUGAAAGCCCCGGGCUCAACCUGGGAACUGCAUUCGAUACUGCCGAGCUGGAGUACGAGAGAGGGGGGUGGAAUUCCAGGUGUAGCGGUGAAAUGCGUAGAGAUCUGGAGGAACAUCGGUGGCGAAGGCGGCCCCCUGGCUCGAUACUGACGCUGAGGUGCGAAAGCGUGGGUAGCAAACAGGAUUAGAUACCCUGGUAGUCCACGCUGUAAACGAUGUCUGCUAGCCGUUGGGAUCCUUGAGGUUUCGGUGGCGCAGCUAACGCGAUAAGCAGACCGCCUGGGGAGUACGGCCGCAAGGUUA